UGUGCAAACAUGAUUUAGUCCAUAAGAAAAUUUGAAUUUCUUCCUCUUAGUGCAAUUCUAAGUUACACAC
rnacentral:tRNA from 1 species